CACUGCCCCCGCUUCCUCGAGCAGACGGAUGGAUUUCGUCACUGAUCUCAGUCCGCCAUUUUAAUCAACGCGGCACUUUAUUCGUGUUGGAGUCUUUGACCUUUUAAAACCGCUGUAAUAUAUACUAUUAUAUAGUUAGCGUCGGAUCAAACUACACAUACUCCAAAAUGCAGGCCGAAGAACAAGGUGACUUCAGCACUGACGAGUUUCCAGAAGGCUCCAAAAUAAACGCGAGUAAGAACCAGGAGGAUGACGGUAGGAAAAUGUUCAUCGGUGGGCUCAGUUGGGACACCAGCAAGAAAGACCUUACUGACUACCUGUCCAAGUUUGGAGAAGUCCUGGACUGCACCAUCAAAACAGACCCCAUGACCGGCCGCUCCAGGGGCUUUGGUUUCGUCCUCUUCAGAGAUGCUGAGAGUGUUGAUAAGGUGUUAGAGCUGAAGGAGCACAAGCUGGAUGGCAAAUUGAUUGAUCCCAAGAGAGCCAAAGCAAUUAAAGGCAAGGAACCCCCCAAGAAGGUUUUUGUCGGAGGUCUAAGUCCAGACACAACUGAGGAACAGAUCCGGGAAUACUUUGGAGCUUAUGGGGAUAUUGAAAGCAUUGAGCUUCCCAUGGACACUAAAACAAACGAGAGGCGGGGAUUCUGCUUUGUGACAUAUGUUUUAGAGGAUCCAGUUCAGAAACUGCUGGAGAACAGAUACCAUCAAAUUGGAUCAGGGAAGUGUGAAGUCAAAGUUGCCCAGCCUAAAGAAGUGUACAGACAGCAGCAGAACAGGGCGGACCGGGGCUUUGGAGGAGGACGAGGAGGAGGACGAGGAGGCCGUGGAAGAGGACAGGGCCAAGGCUAUAAUCAAGGAUACAACAGCUACUAUGGCCAGAACUAUGGAGGCUACGGCAACGGAUACAACCAGGGCUAUAAUGGCUAUUCUGGCUAUGACUAUUCAGGAUACAACUAUCCAAAUUAUGGCUAUGGACAAGGCUAUGAUGAUUACAAUGGUCAACAGAGCAGUUAUGGCAAGGCCUCACGAGAGAGCGGAAACCAUCAGAACAGCUACCAGCCGUAUUGAUGAAGUGGCUAAACACAUUCAGAUAAAUGCGGGGACUUCAUUGCAGGCCGUGUGUCACCUGACCACGACAUUCUCUGGGCGUCGCACAUAGCGGGCAGAGAGCACGGCAUGCACAAGAAAGCGCUGUCCUGUGGUCGGCAGGCUGACUUCGACAUUGCUCCUCGGAGGCAGCUUGUGGAAUCCUGUCCUUAAACAACUAUUAAAAAUGUUAUUCGGUCCUCUGGGGACAAAUUCAGUGUCUGACCUUGUAAAUAGCGAGACGUUUUGUUUCCAAGUUUGUCUUAUUCUGUGCUUUGUUCAGACCGAACCUGUAGGUUUUGUGCUGUGUUCUUAAGUCUUGAUUAGGAAAAGUGUCCUUUAUUUUGUAUUUUAGUUCUUUUCCUUAAGUUUUUUGGAUAAAGGGAUUAAAAAAUGGGAAAAAAUUUUGUUGUGCUGUUUUCAUUUUCUGAGUUAUACACUACCUCUGCAUGCAGACUUUAACUGGAGUUGUAAUACAUAUUUGCGUUAUAUUAAAAAAAUAUAUGAACUUGUU